rnacentral:rRNA from 1 species
UACGUAGGGUGCAAGCGUUGUCCGGAAUUAUUGGGCGUAAAGAGCUCGUAGGCGGCUUGUCACGUCUGCUGUGAAAACUCGGGGCUCAACCCCGAGCCUGCAGUGGAUACGGGCUAGCUAGAGUGCGGUAGGGGAGACUGGAAUUCCUGGUGUAGCGGUGAAAUGCGCAGAUAUCAGGAGGAACACCGGUGGCGAAGGCGGGUCUCUGGACCGAUGACUGACGCUGAGGAGCGAAAGCGUGGGGAGCGAACAGG